rnacentral:misc_RNA from 1 species
AGAAAACUGAAAUACAAAGUUUGAUAACAUUAAUCCAAUACUUCGAAUAACGCCACAAGACAUCAAAACUAAUUUGGAAACAAAAUCAUAACUAAGAGUUACCCAAUAAACCUAAGCCGUAAGGACAACCGCACCACCAUUCUCUUUGAUCUUCUUCUCUGCAAUUUUGGAGAUGAGCUUGGCUUUCACAACGACGGGCUGGUUCUCAGGCAAAACCCCUUUACCCAAAACUUUGAAAUACCCAAACUGGGUAACAUCAAUCAAAGGGACAUUAUCCUUAGAAGCCUUGUCCUUCACCUCCUGAGGAACGAGGGACCAGAGCUUGUCGACGUUUACAAUGGGGCAAUAGAAUUUGUUACGGAGCUUGUGGAAGUACCUCAUACCAACUUUACCAAAAUAACCAGGAUGGUAUUUGUCGAAGAGGAUUCUGUGGUGGUGCAUACCUCCUGCGUUACCACGACCACCAGGAUGCUUACGGUGCUUGCCGAUACGACCAUGGCCGGCGCUCACGUGACCGCGCUUCUUUCUGUUCUUCUUGAAGCGGGUCGUCAUUUCGUCGGCGAGUGGAGGAGAAUUAGGUUUUCAGAGUAAAAGGGAGCGGCGAGCGCGAGGUAUGCA